GCGCGUUCUCGUGGAGGUGCGGUAGACGCGCCAUCCCUCUCCUAUACCACGCGUCUGUCAGAUUUGUUCCUUCGUACUCCUUCCUUUGUGGCUGGAAGCAAUGCCGCCGCCGCCUCACAGCACUCGUGUGGCACAUUUUGAAGCCAGCGCGUGCAGCAGCGUCGCAGUGACGCGUCCCCACUGGCAGCGGGCAUAGCGCCACGAACGGAGACGCGCCAUCUCAAAACACCGCAGAUUUUACAGAGGCCAGCG
rnacentral:lncRNA from 1 species